GACGAACGCUGGCGGCGGGCUUAACACAUGCAAGUCGAACGGAAACGCCCUGCUUUUGUGGUGUGCUCGAGUGGCGAACGGGUGCGUAACACGUGAGUAACCUGCCCUUGACUUUGGUAUAACUUCAGGAAACUGGGGCUAAUACCGUAUAGGAGCUCCUGCUCCAUGGUGGGGGUUGGAAAUUUUCGGCGGUUGGGGAUGGACUCGCGGCUUAUCAGCUUGUUGGUGGGGUAGUGGCUUACCAAGGCUUUGAAGGGUAGCCGGCCUGAGAGGGUGACCGGCGACAUUGGGACUGAGAUACGGCCCAGACUCCUACGGGAGGCAGCAGGGGGGAAUAUUGCACAAUGGGCGGAAGCCUGAUGCAGCAACGCCGCGUGCGGGAUGACGGCCUUCGGGUUGUAAACCGCUUUCGCCUGUGACGAAGCGUGAGUGACGGUAAUGGGUAAAGAAGCACCGGCUAACUACGUG
rnacentral:rRNA from 1 species